rnacentral:rRNA from 1 species
ACAGGUCUGUGAUGCCCUUAGAUGUUCUGGGCCGCACGCGCGCUACACUGACAGAGCCAACGAGUUCUUUUCCUUGUUCGAAAGAAUUGGGUAAUCUUGUUAAACUCUGUCGUGCUGGGGAUAAAGCAUUGCAAUUAUUGCUUUUCAACGAGGAAUGCCUAGUAAGCGCGUGUCAUCAGCAUGCGUUGAUUACGUCCCUGACCUUUGUACACACCGCCCGUCGCUACUACCGAUUGAAUGGCUCAGUGAGGCCUCCGGACUGGCUCGAGGAGGUUGGCAACGACCACCUCAAGCCGGAAAGUUGGUCAAACUCGGUCAUUUAGAGGAAGUAAAAGUCGUAACAAGGUCUCCGUAGGUGAACCUGCGGAGGGAUCAUUA